rnacentral:rRNA from 1 species
GAUGGCCUUACCCGCGGCGCAUUAGCUAUUGGUGAGGUGCGAACCGCGACCUUAUGACCUGCACAAAUCUGUUCUCAGCAUGAACGGCUCACCAAGGCAACGAUGCGUAGCCGACCUGAGAGGGUGAUCGGCCACACUGGGACUGAGACACGGCCCAGACUCCUACGGGAGGCAGCAGUAGGGAAUCUUCCGCAAUGGACGAAAGUUCUGACGGAGCAACGCCGCGUGAGUGAUGAAGGUUUUCGGAUCGCUUAAAGCUCUGUUGUUAGGGAAGAACAAGUACCGUUCGAAUAGGGCGGUACCUUGACGGUACCUAACCAGAAAGCCACGGCUAACUACGUGCGCAGCCGCGGUAAUACGUAGGUGGCAAGUUGUCCGGAAUUAUUGGGCGUAAAGGGCUCGCAGGCGGUUUCUUAAGUCUUGGAAAGCCCCCGGCUCUUAACCGGGGAGGGUCAUUGGAAACUGGGGAACUUGAGUGCAGAAGAGGAGAGUGGAACCACGUGUAGCGGUGAAAUGCGUAGAGAUGUGGAGGAACACCAGUGGCGAAGGCGACUCUCUGGUCUUGUAACUGACGCUGAGGAGGAAAGCGUGGGGAGCGAACAGGAUUAGAUACCCUGGUAGUCCACGCCGUAAACGAUGAGUGCUAAGUGUUAGGGGGUUUCCGCCCCUUAGUGCUGCAGCUAACGCAUUAAGAACUCCGCCUGGGGAGUACGGUCGCAAGACUGAAACUCAAGGAAUUGACGGGGGCCCGCACAAGCGGUGGAGCAUGUGGUUUAAUUCGAAGCAACGCGAAGACUUACCAGGUCUUGACAUCCUCUGACAAUCCUAGAGAUAGACGUCCCCUUCGGGGGCAGAGUGACAGGUGGUGCAUGGUUGUCGUCAGCUCGUGUCGUCUAGAUGUUGGGUUAAGUCCCGCAACGAGCGCAACCCUUGAUCUUAGUUGCCAGCAUUCAGUUGGGCACUCUAAGGUGACUGCCGGUGACAAACCGGAGGAAGGUGGGGAUGACGUCAAAUCAUUAACCCCUAUGACCUGGGCUACACACGUGUACAAUGGAAGAACAAAGGGCAGGUUAAGCCAAUCC